GAGGAAUCUUGCGCAAUGGGGGAAACCCUGACGCAGCAACGCCGCGUGAGUGAAGAAGGCCUUCGGGUCGUAAAGCUCUGUCGGGUGGGAAGAAACGUAUGGAGGUAAAUAAUCUUCAUACUUGACGGUACCGCCAAAGGAAGCACCGGCUAACUCCGUGCCAGCAGCCGCGGUAAUACGGGGGGUGCAAGCGUUGUUCGGAAUUAUUGGGCGUAAAGAGCGUGUAGGCGGCGUGAUAAGUCAGAUGUGAAAGCCCUGGGCUUAACCCAGGAAGUGCAUUUGAAACUGUCAUGCUUGAGUACGGGAGAGGGAAGAGGAAUUCCUGGUGUAGAGGUGAAAUUCGUAGAUAUCAGGAGGAACACCGGUGGCGAAGGCGACUUCCUGGCCCGAUACUGACGCUGAGACGCGAGAGCGUGGGGAGCAAAC
rnacentral:rRNA from 1 species